rnacentral:rRNA from 1 species
UACGGGGGGAGCAAGCGUUGUUCGGAUUUACUGGGCGUAAAGGGCGCGUAGGCGGCCAGCACAAGUCGGUUGUGAAAUCUCCGAGCUUAACUCGGAAAGGUCAACUGAUACUGUGCGGCUAGAGUGCGGAAGGGGCAACUGGAAUUCUUGGUGUAGCGGUGAAAUGCGUAGAUAUCAAGAGGAACACCUGCGGCGAAGGCGGGUUGCUGGGCCGACACUGACGCUGAGGCGCGAAAGCUAGGGGAGCGAACGGG